rnacentral:rRNA from 1 species
GUUGACCUCGAAUCAGGUAGGACUACCCGCUGAACUUAAGCAUAUCAAUAAGCGGAGGAAAAGAAACCAACAGGGAUUGCCCCAGUAACGGCGAGUGAAGCGGCAACAGCUCAAAUUUGAAAUCUGGCUCUCAGGGCCCGAGUUGUAAUUUGUAGAGGAUGCUUUUGGCGAGGUGCCUUCCGAGUUCCCUGGAACGGGACGCCACAGAGGGUGAGAGCCCCGUAUGGUCGGACACCGAGCCUCUGUAAAGCUCCUUCGACGAGUCGAGUAGUUUGGGAAUGCUGCUCAAAAUGGGAGGUAUAUGUCUUCUAAAGCUAAAUAUUGGC